rnacentral:misc_RNA from 1 species
UUUGCGCUAAUCAAAAGGAGGAAAAUGGCAAUAUAGGCUCUUUCACUCUUCCUAAAGCAAAUGGGCAACUUUUUAUCGUGCUCUCGCACAAAGAUAAAAGUAAUGGGGAAUCUUUAUCAUGGGCCUGCCCUGACUCUCCAUAAUUGCACUUGCACUGCGAUUCACUGCCAUAUAUCUCCUGUAAAAUGUAGCCCUUCUUUAGAUGUGUGGAAAAUAGAGGAAAAGGAAAA